GGCCAGUUCCAAUCACGUGCUGCACCCAUGCCUGUGGAGGGGGACCGGAUGGUGAAGAACGGGAAUCGCCGGGCAUGGCCCCCGUUCUCGAAAAAAUUUUCAGCAGAUGCCGGAUCCGGGAAGCGACCCCUGGUCCUCCUGCGUGACACGCCAAUGCGUUACCUCGCGGUCAUCCGGCCAGUAUUCGGUAGGUAUAGUACACAAUACCAUAGUAUUACGAAUUUCAAUGUUGCUCUAAGUAAAUCUUUCAAAUUGAAGAACGGAAAGACAUAGACUCAAGUUCAUGAAAUUCCAGAAAUUAUAAGAGUUGUAUUAAAGAACAACUGAAAGUGUAGAAGGAAUCAGUUUGCAAAUAGAGUAAUCAAAAUCUUGUUUUUCCUAAUAUACGGUAUAUUUUCAAACUGCUCAGGCAACGCCGGGCGCCCUUUGCUAAUUACAGUAUAUAUGUUUUGAACACUAUGAUCAUUUCAUACAUAACUUUAAUAAUGAUUUACAUAGAUUGAGAUUAAUUCAAAUUUUUCGAAUUUCAGAUUAAAAUCUCUUAAAAUUUUUGAUUGAUUUUUAUCAAGAAAAGUUUGUAGAAACACAGUGGACUCGCGUUUUACGAACUUUCGAUUUAAUGAACUUUUUUAUGG
rnacentral:lncRNA from 1 species